CCUUACUUCCGGUCCAGGUGUAUCGAUAUAUUAUGCGUGUAUUCACGUUUGGAACGGCACAUUUCAAACCAAUUUAAAAGGUUCUACUUAACAUGGUUCGAGCACUAAGAUCUCAGCUUGCUUUUUGACUGCAAAAGGGAUCUUGACUCAAAAAAGGUCCUCACAGUAUAUGAAGGACAAGUUUGAGUCCCAUGAUGCCAAAAUCUCGCUUCACCAGGAAUGCUUUUUCAACAGUCUUGAAUGAGUAACCACAUAUGCUGAGAACUUGUUGGCUGCUUUUCCUUCACUCUGCGGUCCAACUCAUCCCAAACCAUCUCAAUUGGGUUGAGGUCGGGUGAUUGUGGAGGCCAUGUCAUCUGAUGCAGCACUCCAUCACUCUCCUUCUUACACAGCCUGGAGGUGUGUUGGGUCAUUGUCCUGUUGAAAAACAAAUGAUAGUCCCACUAAGCGCAAACCGGAUGGGAUGGCGUAUCGCUGCAGAAUGCUGUGGUAGCCAUGCUGGUUAAGUGUGCCUUCAAAUCUAAAUAAACCACAAACAUUGUCACCAGCAAAGCAGCCCCACACAAUCACACCUCUCAAUGCUUCAAGGAAGAAGAUGUUUUCUGAUUAUGUGGGAAAGGGAAAAUCUCAGCAAGAAGUGGAGGCAGAGGAUGAAGAAGCUAAGAAUAUUCAGAGACAAUUGGCUGUCUAUCUUAGUGAGGAGGACUAUGAUCUAAACCUUCUUCAGAGUUUGCUGUAGAGAAUGGUGUGGAGAGGGAGAGGAUUGUUAAGGACCUGAAGCAGAUGUCCCAGGAGAGAAUUAGCUGCUGAGGAAGGAAUCACCAGAGCUAUCGGAGCUCAUUCAGGACUUGAAGUCCAAGAGCUGAAUGACGAGCUACAGGCCCUUUUGGAAAUGGUCAAAGAUGGACGCAUCCCACCGGGAAAGGGUGCCAACUACCUUAAGACCAAACAGCAGCUUUAUCUAAAUUAAGUAUAUAUUUGAUUUGUAACAUAAAUUGCAUAAACAAUGCCAUUGAGAAUGGACUCACUUAUUGUUGUUUCUCUCCUGAGUUACUGCACAAACAUCAGUUUCUACCUCAUCCUGAAAGCAAAGCAUAUUCCCGCACACAACCACCCAGUGAUUGAAAGACUGCUUAUUUACAGGAAUGUGAGUAGAUGCAUUGUCAUUUUGCUUAUGAUUGAUAAAAUGUUCAGGCCUAUAUCAAUGUUUCUUGGUCGCAUACACAGAUUUGCAGGUGCAGUGUUUCUAGCUCCAACAGUACAGGAAUACCUAGCAAUAAAAAAAACUAUACACAAAAUCCAGAUUCGUAUUAUAUCAGAACAAGCAAUGCCAAAGACUGAAAUAUAAAUACUCUGUGGCCAGUUUAUUAGAUACACCCAUCUAGUACUGGGUCGGACCAAGCGGUGCCUCCAGAACAGCCUGAAUUCUCAGGGGCAUGGAAACAUGUUCAAUUGGUAUCAAGGGACCUAACGUGUGCCAGGAAAAUAUUUCCCACACUACCGCCACCAGCCUGUAAGAUUCUUGCCAUUCUCCUUCGACCUCUCAUCAGCGAGCUGUUUUCGCACACACGACUGCCACUGGCCGGAUGUUUUUGUGUUUGCUGCACCAUUCUCUGUAAACCCUAGACACUGUUGUGUGUGAAAAUCCCCCGAAGGCUGGCCGUUUCUGAGAUACAGACGAUCAUACCACGCUCAAAGUUGCUUCUGUCACUGGUUUUGCCCAUUUUAAUGUUCAUUCGAACAGUAACUGAAUGCUUCGAUGCCUGUCUGCCUGCUUUGUAUAGCAAUCCACGGCCAGCAGUCUUUCAACUGUCUGGAGGAGCGAAUCAUUUUUGGGAACAGGGUGGUGUACCUAAUAAACUGGCAGUUGAGUGUAUAUACAUGGAAUGUAGUCAACAUAUACAGUGCUUGUCAUAUAGUUAGUAUGAGUCAGAUUGUGUCCUAUAAUAAUUGGGUCCUCUGACUGUCCCUGCAGCUGAUAAAUGACAUGGGUGAGGUAGAUGCUUGGCUUGCCCCACAGCUGCGCCAGUUGCUCUCUGCAGGCCAGAAUGAGAUGGCUGCUAUGAAGCCAGGGAGUAGCAAGCAGAUCACCAACAACGUGAGAAAUGAGUAUGAUGGUGAUCCAUUGGGUGAUGUUGGCAUACUUCAGGAUUUUGGCAACGAGGCCCUUUAUCUACUUCAGUCAGAUGAACUCAUGUUUACCAUUUUUGUGUCUGAGUGCAGUUUGAGUGAAGUUGCUAACUGGUGUUAGCACAAUGACUGGAAGUCUGAGUAUCUGUUAGUGUGCUAGUAGAUACCCAUGGACUUCAUUGUGCUUAUGCUUGUUAGGUGGUUCCAUGAGCCACUGCUAACUUCCUUCAUACUGUACACUGAGACAUAGCAUUUCUAUCUAUGAUUUAAUUUGACUCUGGGGAAGUAGAUAAAUGGUCUCAUUGCCAAAAUCCCAAAGUAUCCCUUUAAAGGUAUACUCAGCAAUAUGAUGAAGAUGCACAAAGUAAGCAUUGAAGCGUGCGGCUAAACUUCUCAGCUGUUUUGGUCCUAUUGCUACCACGCAGACCCAUGCACAGAUACUGUGUGAGAGGGAUAUCACACUCAUCGCAAUAUCUGAAGUGCUGCUCGUGGCAAUGUAAGUUUGCUGAGUCUACAUCUAAGCUGGAUUGGUCCCUAUGUUGUCAGAUGUCUGAAGAGGCUGGGGCUGAACCAUCAUACUGACUUGGAUGAAGAGGCUGCCCUGCACUUCUACAGAGGAAUGGAGAGGCUGAAACUGAAUAGGACCUACAGGCUGAGGUGAAGGAUGAAGAGGAGUUGGAUCCAGAUACCAAGAGAUGCAUUACCCACCAGAACCAAGGGUUUACACCGAAGAGGAAGACUGACCGCAAUCCCAGAGUCAAACAGAGAAUUUCAGACGAGCCAAGACCGCAUAAAGGGACCAGUUUGUAGACUACAUUUGAAACUUGAAGUUGCAGUGUAUAAAAUGUAUACAAAUCCAAUGUAUGAGAAGUGUUUUGCAGGCAUUACUUACACCUCCUGCAGGCACAUCUUUCAGGACCUCUGAGGGGUAUACUCCAAAGCAGAACCAAUGAGUUAGCCAGCUUACUUUGAUUAACAACCAGAAAUAACUGUUGAUUUUCUGAAUCAUUUAGAAAAAUAAACUAAGGUUGAGUUAAUUAGACCAUAGCCCAAUUCAAGCUUAGUUAUUUAUUAGUUCAGAAUAUUGAGGCAAGUUAUCUGGCUAACUCCUUGAUCCUGCUUUGUAGUGUGUAUGCUGAUAUGAUAUACAGUAUUUGAUAGCAAAAUUGACAACUUGUAUAAUUUAACUAGUGUCAAUUAUGGAUCAAAUUGAAUUCCAAGUGUAUUUAAAAAAAAAACCUACAUUAAAAUCUUGAAUGUAUUCCAGGUUCGUGAAGUCUGUUGUGAGGAGACAAGAUACAGUGGAGAGCUGUCUGGUAUUCGUGCUGGACUUCAUAUCAAACUCAUAACCAAGUAAAUUACACAAUCACUGAUAGCUAGCUGUAUGGGGUGUCAUGCCUUCAAGGAAGACUGUUCCCUCUGUGGAGUAGAUUUGUGAUUUGACCAGCACAUAAAAUACCAAAAUACAGUUAAGGUUUAAUGUUCCGAGUCUGUUACUUUACUGAUGUACUCUGUCUGUGAUAUUACUCUGACAAACUGCUAUGAGGUUAAGUCAAUUCAUUGGUUGGCAUUAU